CACAGAUGACAGGUGAAGUUAUUUAUUGGUUCAAGAGGCUUUAUUUAACUCUUUUAAAGGCAUAUAAAUAAUUUCAAGUGUUCCAGUAUGCUUCUAUGAUGCUUUACACCUCCACAUCCAAGUGACAAACUUUAAAAAUGUUUGUAUAUUUUUUGGAAGACAACAGUACGGGGAAGCAUAAAGGCUUUUCAUGGUGAGCACUGACGUUUCUGCCGGCUGCUAUUCUUGGCCGGGCCUGCUAGACCUGUUUCUAGUUCGCAGAAGUCCAUCUACUGAAUCUGCUCAUUUUUGUCAUAACUUGAUGGUGCCACCUUCCCCCUUAGUUGGAGUGGGAUAAUGGAGCGAGUCGCACAGAGGUGUCGAGCUGCAGACUUUCUGUGGGGAUUUCCAGUUCACAUCCUCGAAUAAGAGACACUAAGUGGAGAAAAUAAUGGAGUUGAUGGUAAAAGAAGAGAUGAGAAAGAAAAGUAAGAGUUUUCUUCUCUGCUUUCACCUGCUGACUCUUCUCCAACUCGCUGCGCCCUCUUCAGCUCAAAACAUCACCACGUCAGCCGCUGACGGUUUCCGCACUCACCCAGCCGACGUCACAGUGGCUGUUGGAGAACCGGCCGUGUUUCGCUGUGGAGUUCCCGAAGCUUCUCCAGACUUCACAUUCACCUUGCGGGGGGCGCACGGAAACUACCUCCUCACGUGCCCCUCGGGCCACGUGGAAGACGUUCCCCAGGCUCUCUAUGGAAGUUGUGAGGUGAGAAAUGGAGAGUCAUCAGCUGUGUGGACCCUAAAGGGAACUUCUUUCUCCGACAACGGGACACAGGUCUCCUGUCAGCAGCCAAAGAAUCCUAAUAGCGCUGCUGCCGUGCUGCACGUCUACGAUAACGGCACCAGCCACGCCAUUCUCAUUGGUUGUAUCAUUGGCGGCUUCUUUGGCACGUUGUUGGUCUUCGGCUUACUGUACGUCAUGCUGCAGAGAUCUGAGAGGCUGCAGAAGUGCUUCUGGAGCGGAGAAACACCGGAGGAUUCGACCACAAUAGUAACAAAGGAGUAAAAGGAGACGGCUCUCUAUGUUGCUCUCUACCUUCGAACCCACAUGGAAAGAAUGGAAGCGUCAAACGUUUUUGGACAAUCUAAGUGAAAAAGAGCUGUAUUUAUGUCUGGAGGUUAUUCUGUUGAGGCCGGGUCCAUCCUGGACAUCUUCACUUUUACCUUUUUUGUCUUGAAUAACCGGGCCUUGCACACGUUAUAUACAUCCUACCAGUAUAUAAUGUAGCAUGCACACAACAGCACAUGUGGCGGUUACUUUAUAAACUUUAUAUACUAUAAAUGUGUGAAAUGUCUUAUGCGAUGUUAUCAAAGUGGGGAGGGAUUUAGUGUUGAAUGAGGCCCAGAAUAGCUGUUUUGUGCUUCCACAUAUGUAUCACAGCUGUGUUCCCAAAAAACGAUUAAAGGUGAAAUACUAGUCGUGUCCUCGCCAGGCUCGUCCAACCAGUUUAGUAAGUUUCUCUUUCACGGUCGCUCCACUUGAAGGAAGCACUCAGUGCCCAGAUUAGUUUGUUGUUUUCACACUACACUGUGACACGUUCACCUUUCUCAUAGAAUGGAUUGAGAAAAUGUGUCCGAACGUUACAUUUUGAAUGGUCCUCGUGCUUUUCUCAUGUUGUCUUUGCCUAAAACGAGGUGUGUGGUCCUUUGCAAUCGUCCAAACCGAAGCUGCAUUAUAUCAAAACAAAAACUAUUUGCAAACAACUGUGGAUUUCUGUAUCCCUCGACCUUCAGAAGCUGGGGGGACUCGCCGCCAGUGACCCCACACUGACGUGGUCGCGGCGUUGGCGUGUCUGUUGCUCCCCCCUGGUGGUGAGCGCGUUCCAUGCUGUCAGGAACAAACGCUCACUGCCACGGACCCUUCGGCCUUCACGUGCAUUCACCAGCUUCAAGAGGCAGCAGUGUGAGCCGGAUCAAGGCUGCUUUUGUCUCAUCUGGUAGCCGUCAUCCAGCUUCAUUAUAGUCAUUUGCGGUGCGCGGGGUUGAUUCACCCAUUCACAAGUUUGCCAACACGGACAGUUUCUAUCUUUCUUAAAGAGCCAUCGUUGGGUUUAGUCUAAGGUAGCCAAAUUGCUUUCGCCAAGUCCCCUUUUAACUUUGCAAUGCCCUCCAACUGGUUUUUAAUGAUCCUGCUAAUUUGUCCAUAUGACAAAAAAAAACAUGAUACACCAAAACGUUCCUCAAUGACAAUGAUAUGCUAUAAAUUAUAAAUAAAUGCAUUGCAUCUUUAAGGAAACACGCAAUAUCUGGGAAAUCAACGCAUUAAAGUGUUUUUUCACUGCUUUUGACGUUUGAUAUUUCAUGACUCUCCCAGUGUUGUUACACCUGAAAGAGCAGAACGGAGAGCUAGCAACACACACACACACACACACACACACACACACACACACACACACACAUGCAGACAGGGCCAUCAGCAGGAGAGAAGUCCAGCCUUUUCUUUUAGUCAAUACAACAGAGGCCGUAUGGAGCAACGUGUUGACUCAGCUGCU
ensembl:lncRNA